AGCAGCCGCGGUAAUUCCAGCUCCAAUAGCGUAUAUUAAAGUUGUUGCAGUUAAAAAGCUCGUAGUUGAAUUUCGGGGUUCUACCGUUGGUCGGGCUUUGUCUGUACUGGCGUGUAGAAUUUCUACCUUCUGGGGAACCAUCAUGUUAUUAAUUUAGUGUGGUGGGAAACCAGGACCUUUACCUUGAAAAAAAUUAGAGUGUUCAAAGCAGGCUUAUGUCUGAAUACAUUAGCAUGGAAUAAUAGAAUAGGACGGUGGUCCUGUUUUGUUGGUUUCUGAAUCACCGUAAUGAUUAAUAGGGAUAGUUGGGGGCAUUAGUAUUCAAUUGUCAGAGGUGAAAUUCUUGGAUUUAUUGAAGACUAACUUCUGCGAAAGCAUUUGCCAAGGAUGUUUUCAUUAAUCAAGAACGAAAGUUAGGGGAUCGAAGACGAUCAGAUACCGUCGUAGUCUUAACCAUAAACUAUGCCGACUAGGGAUCGGACGAUGUUAAUUUUUCUUGACUCGUUCGGCGCCUUACGGG
rnacentral:rRNA from 1 species